rnacentral:rRNA from 1 species
AUGAAUGCACAGAAACAAUUGAUCAUUCUACUUGGUAUCAGACUCCAGGCAACCCUUUCAUGGCCGAGCACACGACCGCCUCCGCCACUUCUCCGGCCACCAACUCGGCCACCUCGCCGGGGACUCUCUCCAGCUCGUCCACCGGCGCCGGCACCACCGCCGGCACGUCUUCUCCCUUCAUCUUCGGCACCACCCCCUCUUCCCAUAGUGGCUCCUCCCCCUCGCUCGGUUCUCAGUUCGCCCCCCUAUUCCCCAACUCCACGGCGCCGCCGCUCCCUCCCCCACCCCAUUUUCCGUGAUAGCAUCCAGAACCAGAUCAAGUUUCUUCUCAACCCCGACGAUCACAACUACCACAAGUGGAAGUCAUUCUUCCUCCUUGUUCUGAUCCGCUAUGGCGUCGCUCAGUUCAUCGAACAACCCCUUCCCCCUAACGCCACCACCUCCACCGCCGACGUAUGGCACCGCCGGCUUGGCCACCCCAGCCCCCAAGUUACCUCUUCCUUAGCGGCCCAUGAUUUUCUUCCAUCUUGUAAUAAGAUUGCGCAUACACCAUGUAAUGCUUGCCAACUUGGACGGCAGCCGCGCCUCCCCUUUCCUACUUCACAUAGUCGCACUUUUGCUCCAUUUGAACUAAUCCAUUGUGAUUUAUGGACCAGCCCCGUUGUAAGCUUUUCCGGUUAUCAAUAUUACUUGAUUGUGCUUGAUGAUUACACUCACUUUUUCUGGUCCUUUCCUCUUCGCAACAAGCCGGACACAUCUCUUACUCUCCAACGCUUUUUCUCUUACGUUCGUACUCAAUACAAUGUGAUCAUCAAAGCACUACAAUGCGAUAACGGUGGCGAGUUUAUCAACUCCACACUACGUGCGUUCUUCUCCGCUAAUGGCAUUGCCUACCGCUUCCCUUGCCCUCACACCUCACCCCAGAAUGGCAAGGCCGAACGUCUUCUUCGCACCACCAACGACAUCAUCCGCACCCUCCUCGUCCAAGCCAACCUCACACCUUCCUUUUGGGCUGAAGCCUUGCACACGGCCACAUACCUUCUCAACCGUCGCCCUUUCCGUGCCAUUCACGAUCACACACCUUACUUUUGA